GGGAUUCCCAGAGAAUAGUAUACUACUAAACACAAAACAUGUUCAUGUUUGUGAAAAUGAAUACUUUUGAUCCAGGUUAAACUAAACCUACAAAACUAGCAUAUCUAGAGUAAAAAAUAAGGGAACUAUUUAACUGAAGUUGAAAAAGCUUAAACCUUCCAUUGAUGUGUUAGUAAAGAACACACAAAAAAGGAAAAAAAAGCUAAAGCAUCUUUGAUCAACUCUUGUAAUAGUUAGAGCAGAUCAGACAUCCUUCUUCUGUGGUGAGCUAGUGGUUUUCUAGGCUUUGGAUCCGAGGGCGCGAUAGACUUGCUUUGUGGUAAGAUAGAUGGCUUAAUACCUAAUAUCCCCUGCCAUGAACGUGAUCUUUUAUUUGAAGUCCGGAGGUGAGCUUUGAAACGACGAUCAAAGCUGUUUGAUUGUGAACCAGAAAUUAAUAUAGAGCUCCUAGACCAUGAUCUCACACUUUUUGGUCUGCUAUGGAUUUCCUUUUCUGCUGUAGUCUCCCUUAUUCGACUGGCAACUGUGGAACUCAUGAAUCGAGGCACCGAGCUAGUGACAUUUGUUUUUAGUCCCUUCUCAGAGUU
rnacentral:lncRNA from 1 species